AGAGUUUGAUCUGCUCAGAGACGCUGGCGGCGCGCCUAACACAUGCAAGUCGAACGGGACUAUUUUGGGAGAAGUUUUCGGAUGGAUCUCGGGAUAGUUUAGUGGCGGACGGGUGAGUAACACGUGAGCAACCUACCUUCGAGAGGGGAAUAACGGCUGGAAACGGUCGCUAAUACCGCAUAACAUACUGGAGGGACAUCCUUUUUGGUAUCAAAGAUUUUUAUCGCUCGGAGAUGGGCUCGCGUCCGAUUAGGUAGUUGGUGAGGUAACGGCUCACCAAGCCGACGAUCGGUAGCCGGACUGAGAGGUCGAACGGCCACAUUGGGACUGAGCACGGCCCAGACUCCUACGGGAGGCAGCAGUGGGGGAUAUUGCACAAUGGGGGAAACCCUGAUGCAGCGACGCCGCGUGUGGGAAGACGGUCCUCUGGAUUGUAAACCACUGUCCCCAGGGACGAAGAUGACGGUACCUGGGGAGGAAGCUCCGGCUAACUACGUG
rnacentral:rRNA from 1 species